UACGAAGGGGGCUAGCGUUGCUCGGAAUCACUGGGCGUAAAGCGCACGUAGGCGGAUUCUUAAGUCGGUGGUGAAAGCCUGGAGCUCAACUCCAGAACUGCCUUCGAUACUGAGAGUCUUGAGUCCGGGAGAGGUGAGUGGAACUGCGAGUGUAGAGGUGAAAUUCGUAGAUAUUCGGAGGAACACCAGUGGCGAAGGCGGCUCACUGGUCCAUUACUGACGCUGAGGUGCGAAAGCGUGGGGAGCAAACAGG
rnacentral:rRNA from 1 species